UCCACGAAUACAGUUGACGACUUGAGGUU
rnacentral:piRNA from 1 species